AAUCCAUGGUGAGAGCACUUUCUCAAUAGGUCCUUGUAUCUCUCCCAUGCAUCAUAAAGUGUUUCUAAAUCCAUCUACACAAAAGAAGAGAUAUCAUUCCUCAAUUU
rnacentral:snoRNA from 1 species